rnacentral:rRNA from 1 species
GAUGAACGCUGGCGGCGUGCCUAAUACAUGCAAGUCGAGCGAACAGAUGAGGAGCUUGCUCCUCUGACGUUAGCGGCGGACGGGUGAGUAAAACGUGGAUAACCUACCUAUAAGACUGGGAUAACUUCGGGAAACCGGAGCUAAUACCAGAUAAUAUAUUGAACCGCAUGGUUCAAUAGUGAAAGACGGUUUUGCUGUCACUUAUAGAUGGAUCCGCGCCGCAUUAGCUAGUUGGUAAGGUAACGGCUUACAAAGGCAACGAUGCGUAGCCGACCUGAGAGGGUGAUCGGCCACACUGGAACUGAGACACGGUCCAGACUCCUACGGGAGGCAGGGGUAGAGAAUCUUCCGCAAUGGGCGAAAGCCUGACGGAGCAACGCCGCGUGAGUGAUGAAGGUCUUCGGAUCGUAAAACUCUGUUAUUAGGGAAGAACAAAUGUGUAAGUAACUAUGCACGUCUUGACGGUACCUAAUCAGAAAGCCACGGCUAACUACGUG